rnacentral:rRNA from 1 species
UACGUAGGGAGCGAGCGUUAUCCGGAAUUAUUGGGCGUAAAGGGUGCGUAGAUGGCAAUGUAAGUCUUGUGUAAAAUUGUUGGGCUCAACCCAAUAGGGCACAAGAUACUGCAUAGCUCGAGUAUUGGAGAGGCAAGUGGAACUCCAUGUGUAGCGGUAAAAUGCGUAAAUAUAUGGAAGAACACCAGUGGCGAAGGCGGCUUGCUAGCCAGAUACUGACAUUGAGGCACGAAAGCGUGGGGAGC